rnacentral:sRNA from 1 species
UGCCAUCGUCUCCUCACCAGAGGUCAUCUCCAAGUAUGAGAAGGCGCUCCUGCGUGGCUAUGUGGAGAGCUGCUCCAACCUGACCUGGUGCACCAACCCCCAGGGCUGCGACCGCAUCUUGUGCCGCCAGGGCCUGGGCUGUGGGACCACCUGCUCCAAGUGUGGCUGGGCCUCUUGCUUCAACUGUAGUUUCCCUGAGGUUGGAGCCCCACACUGGCCCUGACCCUGAGCAAGGAUUCACACUCCUUCCCUGCUUAAUAUCUCCUCCCUGCCACACACACACACUGUGACUUGUCCUUCCUCAGCCUCUGCCACCCAGUUGAGCUCUGUUCCUCUUCCUGGAGCCCUCCAAAUGUGACCCGUGCCUGCUCCCCUCUCUCCUGUGCACACCAGCCAUGCUGCCCUCAGGGCUCAGCUGUGUCCCCACCAUGUCCUCUUGCCUUAGGCACACUACCCUGCUAGCUGUGGCCAUAUGUCUCAGUGGGUCGAUGACGGUGGCUACUACGACGGCAUGAGCGUGGAGGCGCAGAGCAAGCACCUGGCCAAGCUCAUCUCCAAGCGCUGUC